ensembl:lncRNA
CUCAGCUCUCUGCCCGCUGGCCUUGUCUGUGCUGCUGUCACACCAUGAUCCCCCCUCCUCUCCUUCCCCUUGUUGGCUGUAGUAUGGAUGACCUCCCUGAGGUUAACGUACCGGCCCCCCUUCCUACAGCCAGGAUUCCUUCCUACAGCCAGGAUUUAAGCCCAGGGCUCUCUGACCCCAUAUUCUGCCCCCUUUCUGGGACAUUCACUCCGGGUUGAGGGUGGCCCCAGAAGAGUUCUCUCAUCAGCUCAGGCCACUCGGGAUGAGGAGGGUCCAGAGAAGGGCACCAAUACUUUCCUCCCUCCUCUCCCUCCUCUAAAGGGUUAGAGCCCAGGGGGCGGUGUGGGCGUCAGGCGCGGAGGGUUCGGGCACCCCUGGAACCUGGGUCAAGAUAGGCUCUCACAGGGCCCCCUUUCCCCACAGGGGUGUCUGCUGGCCUUCUCGGCACCAAUGACAAUGAGGCAGCCACUGAGCUGAUGCUGCCGGAUGGCACAGUAGCCCACAGCCUAGAGGAGCUCGCCCUCGCCUGGCAGGUGGGUGGCAACUGCACGGCCAUGGAGAAAACUCAGGAGUGCCCAGGCCGGAGCCCCACCUGCUGGGCCUUCUUCCAGGACCCCCGUUCCUGCCUGGGGAGCUGCUUCAGGGUGGUGAGUAGGAGGCCAGGUCUAGACGGCAGCAGAAGCCAUGCAGCAGGUAGACCAGGGGACCCCAAGUAGCCCCGGUCUUGCCUGUGCUACUCCCAGGGUGCAGCAGGCCAGGACCAUGACGGGGGGUGCUGGAUUGCAGGUGGAUCCCACGCCAUUCCUCCGCCUCUGCAUCCAGGACGCCUGUGGCCCCCACGAGCUGCACCCGGCCUGCACCCUGGCAGCCACCUACAUCCACUUGUGUGCACGGGGCUUUGUGCCCCUGGACCCUCCUCCACAGUGCGUUUGAGAUUGUGUCUGAGCCAGCACCAGGCUGCCAAAGACUUCAGACUCCUUCACCUUCUCCCACCAAUUCCAGCUCCUCGGCAAGGCCAGGAUUCUUGGCUGGGACAGAACCACCAGCAUGAAGGGCCAGGAGGCUCAGAGAUCACACUUGCUCCAGAUACAGCCAAGGAGGGCUCGGAGUCGAGGAUUUCAAAAUACUUCUGGGGACCAUAAAGUUCACAACUGGUCUGGAGGAUUCUCUACCUUCCCUGACACCUGCACUGCUCUCUAGGAGAGACAGCCUGGCCCCCUGGGCCCACCUCUGCAGACAGACCUCCAUUCCAGCAGCUGUUCUUGUGCAAGAUGUUUUUACUCUUGCUCGGCUGCUCCGUCUGAGGCCGCCACUGUGUGAGCCUGGGCUGCCCUGGGGCCUUCCUCGCUCAGGACUGGCCUCCCCUCCCCUCUACAGCAUCUCCCUUAAGGCGUGAGGCUCCUUGAGAUGGACCCGUGGUCCCAAAUUCCUUCCUGAUCUGGUGGGAGAGUGUCCCUCUUCAGGGUAGAUACUGAAUCUGGAACUGAGUAUUUGGGGGACACUAGAGAGGGCCUCCUUUUUGAGGGGCUGGUUUCCACAGACACCUGCUAGGGCCCCAAGAAUAUAGCCUUCAAAGCUGUUCACUUUCUUUGGGAAGGCAGACCUGUCCCUUGAAUUUUUGACCGAAAAACAAAUCUGGCAGAGUCCCUGAACAGAUCCACUGGAUGGAUGGGGCUGAUCAUUCACUGGUAUGAUGGGGGAGGCUUGGGUGGCUGUGAAAUCUGCCCACCAGUGGAAGCCCCUCCCCCCAAGCCCUCUGUACGUGGAGUCCUAAGGUCCCGAUUCCAGAACAAAGGGCGAAGUGUCAGACACGAGGAACGGGUCAACCAGAAGGUGAGAGGCCACAUUCAGUGGCCCUGGCCUCCCCACACCUAAAUCCCCAGCACACAGCAGAUGCUCAGUAAAGGUUAGAAGCAGCAGCUCUAGAGAGUUUGAGGGUCUUUUAAAGACGGCGUAAAUGGGGCCAGCCCAGUGCAUUCCCACACUCUCGAGGGACGUGCGAGGGGAGGGGUGUCCUGAUGUGUUGAGUGUAUGCUAUACUGCCAUGGGUUGCAACCAGAAGACCCCAGAGUCCAGGCACUACUCUUUGAAAGACGUUUGAUCUUUUCUUAGACCUUAUAGUACCCAGCGAGGCAUGCACCCCAUGUCAUGGAAGGGGGCGGCUCAGAGAGCCCAGCUGACUUACAGAAGGUCAUCCGGCCAGCACGCGGCCAGGCUGGCGCUGAUCUGGGCCCACUGGACCCUCGAGGCUGCCAGCGUCAGUCACCACCUCCUACGUUUGAGCUCCAUAUAGUGUACCAUUGACAUGAAGAGAGUCAAGUGCACCUUUGCCCUGUCCCAAGACACACCUGGAGUACUUACUCAUUUUUCCCUAGUCCACAUGAAAAUGCCCGAUGAGCCACGUCACACAUAAUCAGAAACGUACCCACAACCGUCAGAGGUGCUAUGUUAGGCCUUGCUGAAGGGAACUUAGCCCAGGAGGAGGAGGAAGGAAUGAGAUCAUUUACAGUGGAAAGCAAAUCGCUGGAAUGCCUGGGGGUGGGGUGGGGGGAGGCUGAGCAGUUCAGAGUUAGAUACGCCCAUGGUUUAUAACCACACGACCUCAGUUUCCAGAUCUGCUCAAAGAAUCGGUGAUUUCCGGUCCAGACAGGAAACUGCAGAAGGUUCCCAACCUGCCUCCCACGCUCUGUCCCCAGCCAAGCAUUUACCAGGAAAAUAGCGGUAGGCUGGGCACGCGCCCAGACCCCAAGGGGGAAGCCCAGUUCUCCUUUCUCAAGGCAGAUUUGACGACACCAACACUUUGCAAUUUGGGGUGUAUGGCUGGGUGUGCACGCACAUGUGCAGAAUUUAGAGAAAAACGGAUGGGACAGGGAACGAUUCCAUUAAAAAUACCUAUUAAUAUGUCUACAGCAUAUAAAGAGCAGGUACAAAUAAAGAUCUUAAAAAUCCAGUCUCCA